CUCAGUCUCAGGCUCUCAGCUCAGUCUCACUCAAAUCCAACUCUGGCCAGCCAUUGACCGACCCACCACCACACGCGAAUCAUCCCUCGCCGUCUCUCCCUUCCUUCACGAUACAGAGUCACAGCCACCACCGGUCUGAGGUCUCUCUCUCACGAUUCUCUCUAUCGCGACUCUCUCUCGUGAUUCUCUCUCUCAGGAGUCUCCGACUCUCUCACGCGAUUCUAUCUCUUAGAUUCAGAGUCUCAGACACAGGAUGUAACUGCAACAAAAGGAAAUGAGUUUGAGGACUACUUUCUGAAACGUGAACUGCUGAUGGGAAUAUAUGAGAAGGGAUUUGAAAGACCAUCUCCUAUUCAA